rnacentral:rRNA from 1 species
GAUGAACGCUGGCGGCGUGCCUAAUACAUGCAAGUCGAGCGAACAGACGAGGAGCUUGCUCCUCUGACGUUAGCGGCGGACGGGUGAGUAACACGUGGAUAACCUACCUAUAAGACUGGGAUAACUUCGGGAAACCGGAGCUAAUACCGGAUAAUAUAUUGAACCGCAUGGUUCAAUAGUGAAAGACGGUUUUGCUGUCACUUAUAGAUGGAUCCGCGCCGCAUUAGCUAGUUGGUAAGGUAACGGCUUACCAAGGCGACGAUGCGUAGCCGACCUGAGAGGGUGGUCGCCCACACUGGAACUGAGACACGGUCCAGACUCCUACGGGGGGCAGCAGUAGGGAAUCUUCCGCAAUGGGCGAAAGCCUGACGGAGCAACGCCGCGUGAGUGAUGAAGGUCUUCGGAUCGUAAAACUCUGUUAUUAGGGAGGAACAAAUGUGUAAGUAACUAUGCACGUCUUGACGGUACCUAAUCAGAAAGCCACGGCUAACUACGUG